rnacentral:lncRNA from 1 species
UUUAAUUAGCGGAGGAACCUCAUUAAUAAAUGGGGUAAAGGUCGGGAUGGGGCGUGGGACGAAGUGGGUUCUUUUUUCCAGGGGGGAUUUUUGGGGUGAAUUUGGGGCUUUUUGGGUUUUUUUUGGGGGGGAUCCCUAAAUCCUUGGUAUUUUCUGGGAUUAUCCUUGGGAUAAUCCCAGAAAUGAAGACACUUUUUCCAUCUUAAUUAGUGGAGGAACCUCAUUAAUAAAGGGGGUAAAGGCCCGAUGGAGAAUGGGAAAAAAUGGGGUUUAUUUUUCCAGGGGGGAUUUUUGGGGUAAAUUUGGGGGCUUUUGGGGUCUUUUUUUUUUGGAUCUCCCCAAAUCCUGAGGGAUCCCCAAAUCCUUGGGAUAAUCCCAGAAAUUAAGACACUUUUUCCAUCUUAAUUAAUGGUUCAGCCCAAUUAAUAAAAGGGGUAAAGGUCGGGAUGGGACAUGGGACAAAGUGGGUUCUUUUCUCCAGGGGGGAUUUUUGGGGUGAAUUUGGGGCUUUUUGGGUAUUUUUUUGGGGGGAUCUCUAAAUCCUUGGUAUUUUCCGGGAUUAUCCUUGGGAUAAUCCCAGAAAUGAAGAUACUUUUCCCAUCUUAAUUAGUGGAUCAGCCUGAUUAAUAAAGGGGGUAAAGGGCGGGAUGGGACGAGGGAC